rnacentral:tRNA from 1 species
GGCACUGUGGCUCAAGUGGUAGAGCGUUAGCCUUGAGCUAAAUUGCUGGGUGACAGUGCCC